rnacentral:rRNA from 1 species
CUYUUUGSGUCAAGGUUUAUAGAGAGUGAGGCCUGCCCGGUGSGAGAGUUAACGGCUGCAGUAUCCUGACUGUACUAAGGUAGCAUAAUCAUUUGGCCMUUAAUUGUGGUYUGGCAUGAAGGGUUUAACGGGGSUACACUGUCUCACUCCUUNUUKUUGAAAGUUAACCUAGAGGUGAAGAGGCCUKUGUAAUAGAGAUAGACGAGAAGACCCCGCAGAGCUUGGGAUUUUUAGUCAUACAGAUGCACAUGUUGUGCCAAGUUAAGGGUUAUAUGGCUGAGGUCCUUUGGUUGGGGCGACCCNGGAACAGGAUAAGCUUCCUGCUAUUGGCGUGUAGAGAGGGAAAUAGAACCCCCNGGGGGGGUUWUAUGGAAUCGAGUUACCUCGGGGAUAACAGCAUAAUACCCANUGAGAGRUCCUAUCGAAGUG